GACGAACGCUGGCGGCGUGCUUAACACAUGCAAGUCGAACGGAAAGGCCCUGCUUUUGUGGGGUGCUCGAGUGGCGAACGGGUGAGUAACACGUGAGUAACCUGCCCUUCACUUUGUGAUAACUUCAGGAAACUGGGGCUAAUACCGGAUAGGAGCUCCUGCUGCAUGGUGGGGGUUGGAAAGUUUCGGCGGUUGGGGAUGGACUCGCGGCUUAUCAGCUUGUUGGUGGGGUAGUGGCUUACCAAGGCUUUGACGGGUAGCCGGCCUGAGAGGGUGACCGGCCACAUUGGGACUGAGAUACGGCCCAGACUCCUACGGGAGGCAGCAGUGGGGAAUAUUGCACAAUGGGCGGAAGCCUGAUGCAGCAACGCCGCGUGCGGGAUGACGGCCUUCGGGUUGUAAACCGCUUUCGCCUGUGACGAAGCGUGAGUGACGGUAAUGGGUAAAGAAGCACCGGCUAACUACGUG
rnacentral:rRNA from 1 species